rnacentral:lncRNA from 1 species
CUCAAACAUAAAUUCUAGUAGAUUGCCACUGACAUUUCUAACUGCAAAAUUCUAUUAUUCUAUAUAAAAUGCUUCAUAAUUUCUCCUUAGUUUUUCCAUUAGACAUACAGCCUCAAUCUCUUUAAACUUUCCUUGUAGAUGAUCUAUUUUUGUUUUUUAUAAUUUAUUGAAAUAAACUUUUAAACAUUAUUUUUAUUUUCAAGACAAUUACUUAAUUCAUCUCCAAUAAAAUAGUUUUCUUUUAUCUAUGUAACAGAAUAGAGAAAUUAUUGAAUUGGCAUUCAGAACACCUGGACUGCAUUGUCCUUACAUGGCUGCACAGAAGGUCACAGGCUCAUCUUUGCUGGAAGAAAGGAAAGGAGGCCCACCAUGGUGGUUCUGAUCAGAAUACUGAGGAGAUGCCCUUUCAUAAGGAAUAUUGAAGAGGAAAAAGGAGCCAACAAGGGAUAUGGAGAAAGAAUAGUUAAGGGGCUCAUUUUUACAGAUGAGGAACUGAGGCAAACAGGAUUGAGUGAUGUGUCAGGGUCACACAGAUUUGAACUUGUGAAAUGAGUAUCCCUGAUUUCAAGCCCAGUGCUCUAUCCACUGUGCCACCUAUUGGGAUAUACACCAAGCUAGGAUGUACAGGGAGUAGUACCUCUGGUGUGAAGGUAUGUCAAGCCCUUUUCAGACCUGCUUUCCUCCUUUGUUGUCUAACUGCCACCUAGCUCUCACCUGUGGCUCUAGGAAGUUAUAGCAUGUACAGUUUCUAGAUGAUAAUCAACAAUGUUGUUAGGCAGGCCAAACCAGAUUGAAGGAAACUGCCAGGGCUUAAACGCAUCACUUGGUUAUUAUGGAGGUGUCUAUCCCAGGCAUGUGAAGAUUUUCCUAAGCAGAAGGGGCAGAUGAGAACAAUUUGUUUCAAUAACAAUGAAAGAAGCUGAAAGAAGUGUUGUCAGGAGUUUAGAGCUUGAUUAUACAUUGAAGAACCAAGGUCAUCCGUUGCAUCCCUGGUCAUCACUAGGCAUCUUGAUUUUUGUCUUGUUACUGGACUUUGAUGAUUCUAGAAGAGAAUGUGAGGCUGAAAAUUUUGUGUAACUUUGCCUCACUUAAAUCCAAUUUAUAUGUGAGUCAAAAGCCAUCAUCAGUGAUACCAUCGUGGUUCUUUGAGUAUAAAGGAAAACAAUUGACCUAUCUCAUAAGUUUGUGUUAUGAGACUCAGAUGAAAUGACAUAAGUGGUUUGCACAUUUUAAAGUGCUAAAUAAAUGUUAACUAUUUUACUGAUGAGGAAAUUGA